CAGGGAGUAGUUUAGUUAGAAUAUCAGCUUUGGGUGUUGAUGGCGGGGUUGUUUACCUUCUCCUUG
rnacentral:tRNA from 1 species